AUGGAUUGAGUUGUUAGGGAAAGAAAAGUUGAGGGAGAUGAAUGACAAGUGGAUGCUGCUGAGGAUUGAGGAGGCGAAGCUCAUGGCUAAAAGGGCCGAUUUGGUAUCGGAGCAGACUAGACUUGCUAUGGAGGCUGUUGUAUCAUCUUCAAAAAGGAACUAAACUGACUUUAAUGGAUAGUUUUUCCUGCUGUCUAAGUCUCCAUUUGAGAAGAAAACUGUUGGUCGCAUGUACUGUUCCACGGUUCAGGUAUGUGAAGAAAUAGAAACAGUCUUUCAUUUUUUUUCAGGGAUUAAAGAAGACUAUUAACAUCCUUGUUUGCUGGAACUCAAUUCAAAUAUUUGAGUAGACAUGGUAGAAUUAUCUCUCAAACCUUAGUCCGUUCAAAUCCAAAA